CAUUUAUAUGCUGGGCUGCAUACAAUAGGGACCCAAAAAUCACUCUAACUCUAGCCUAACUACCUAUCCAGCAUCCGAUCUGAUUUCAGAGCUCCGCCCCGUCGCCUCCGUUCUCCAGCGACCACAGAGGUAUAGCUGCGGGCUGCUGCUACCUAGCUGGAUCGAUCACAAGGAAAUACAGCAUGCAGCUUGGCGCUGUCUUCGCGAGCCGGCGCCAGCCUCUGGCUGAUCAGCUGGCUGAUGUUGUUGGAGCUGUGCGUCACCAGCCUCGUCGACGUCGACGUCGGCGCCGGCUGCAGCAGCAGCGACUCCAGAAUUGAGCAAGAGUGUGAACCUCGAUGUAGCCGAGGUUGUCGGGAUCGAGCUCCUCCAUGAUCUGCGGUGUACUCGUCGACGCGCUCCAGGAUCUUGGACAGCUUGUUAGCAGAGGCGGUCAGAGUGAGGCCCUGGUGAUGGUGCAAGAAAUUCAGAAAAGUUCAGAUUGUUGUUAGCUUAAUUGAGCAACUAGUGAGACAAUCCAAUUCAUGGACUAGUUUCAUUACCUCUUUGAGCUCCUCUUCAGUGAUCUGACCAUCAGCAUUCUUGUCAACCCUGCAACAAGUUUACAAUCAAGCAAGUUCAGACAUGAAUAGAAUUUUGCUGAAAGUGGUUUCAGAAUGCACUUUGCUACUAGCACAGGAUUAUUAAACCCAUGACAUACAUGUCAAAGAAGGUCUGAAGCUUGGCAUCGAAUCCAGGAUCAGAGAGCUGCUGCCAGAACUUCCGGACCUGAUCCUUGGUGAGCACCAUGGUUGUGAUCCCUCUUCGCCGUGCAAGUGCGUCGAAGAUCUGCGCGGCAAACUCCUUGGAUCCAACCAUCCCUGCAGUGCAACAUGAACAUUUCAUUCAGAAAUUCAGAGUUUCAGACAUGUUCCGAGUUCUUUUUCCCUUCUAUAUAAUACAGCAAACCAAAUGGUUCAGACUUCAGAAAAGCAGUCGAGGGGGAAACACAAGAAAGAAGAGUGUGGCGGUCGGUGACUGACCGAUGCACUAGCCGAAGCGUGAGCGGAGGAGGAAACCGUCGACGGCGAGGCGUUGGAAGCGCUUCUCCACCUCGGUCCAUCCCAAGGUGACGGCGGCCUGGUUGAGGAACUGGAAGCGGGAGGGUUGCGGCGAGCGCGGAUCACGACGGCCUGCGGCUCGACGGCGCCUGCUGCUGCGGGAGGGUUGCGGACUCCAGGCCUGCUGCUCGACGGCGUCUGGAGAGAAGGGCGCGCUGGCAUGGAGGGCGAGGAGGAGGCGGUGGGAGGGCGGCGCAGUGGCGUCUGGGGAGAGGGCGGCGCGGUGGUGUCUGGGGAGAGGGCGGCCGCGUCGGGGCGCGGUGGCGUCGGGGCGUCGGGGAGAGGGAGGCCGCGUCGGGUACUAUUCUUGCGGGCCUCCGACUGGAAUUUAAGAGCUCUCCUAAAAUGAGAGGCCAAGUAGCAGGGCCACUCGAGUUCUCGAACUCCAUGGGGGCCUGUUUAGGAGGCCCAUUGGAGUUGCUCUUAGGUCCUGUUUAGUUUCCUACCUAAAAUUUUUUCAUCCAUUCCAUCAAAUCUUUGGACACAUGCAUGGAACAUUAAAUAUAGAUAAAAAAAUAAACUAAUUAUACAGUUAGGUUCAAAAUCGCGAGACAAAUCUUUUAAGCCUAGUUAGUCUAUGAUUAGCCUUGACAUUUUUCCGACAUAACCGAUGUGCCAAAAUUUUUUCAUCUCUAAUCUAAACAGGGCCUUAGGGGUUGCGGCGCCGGGAUCGUGGAUCCGCUCCUGUUCACCGGUGCGAAAAGCCAUGGCUGAAAAUACUGUUCGCUAAUUUGUUAUGAGAGCAAAAUAUUGUUGGCUAUGACUGAAAAUAUUGUUCGCUAAUUUGUUACGAGAGAAAAAUAUUAUUGACCGACACAAAAAAAAAAAGUACGGCAGCGAACAGCCGACCACCACGUAACCGGUGCUUACGGGCAUGUGGUACUUGCUGAGGUACGGUACCGGCCGGGGGUUUGGGUGAUUAUUGGGGGGCAUGACUGCGGGGAUUGGCUACGUCCUCGAGGAAUCGUUCAUAUUGCGAGGGCCCCAUAUUGAUUCGGCACGACCGCACGAGGGUGUUAAGGCCAAAUGGCUAUAAGGAAUUUGUUGUGUGGAAAUUUUCUUUCCUUCGGGGUUGUUGUUGAUGUCAAUAAGAAUCGUUUGGUUGCAGUUUUGUUAGAUUGGUCGAAUUAUCCGCGGGCUGCCUGCUCUCUAUACAUAUAACUGUAUGCUAUCGAAAUAAAUGAGCAAUCUGACAAGCCUGAGCUGACUUCUGAGGAGGAUCUUGGUGUAUGAGAAAUCUUCCCUGAACAAGCUGAUGUGUUAGAAGAUGAAUCAGAGUCAGCUCUUUGGUGCUGGAGAUGAGAGAUCUGAAAUCUAUGUCUGUGAAAGCUUGCUGCGUUCUGAGUACGGUUAGAAUGCAUUGAUCGAUGCUUACUGCAAGUCUGGCAAUGUCAGUGCUUCUCUGUGUCAUCAAGUUGAUGGAGAGGAAUGGGGUUCGAGCCAGAUGUCCAGACUUCUAAUGAGAUCAUCAUUUGGUUCUGUUGCACUGUGGAUGAAGCUUCUGAAGUCAGAGUACAAGCGAAGGUGGCGGACCUCAUCGUGAAGCUCAAGGAAGGACUGAACGUGUGGCAAACCUGGAGAUUGAUGGUGCUGCUUAGAGGUGUUGAGGGUAGAUGUUUUGGUGAGAUGUUCUAAGAGGUGCUUUGGUUAAGAGAGGACAGUUCAAGACUCUUUAGUCUUUGCGUCAUUUCUGUUUCUUAAAACUUAUUUCCUUUUGGUGUAAUGUUCUAUCUUUGUUGAUCUUGCGUUGAAUCCUUGUAUCUGUUGCUUUCAAUAUAAGCAGGGCUACGGUCUUUGGUCUUAAAAAAGGACAAAUUGGGUUGUUCA